rnacentral:snRNA from 2 species
AUCCUCACCUGUCAGGGGAGAUACCAUGAGCACAAAGGUGGUUUUCCUAGAUUGAGGCUCAUCUAUUGCACCCUGGGUGUGCUGAUACCCCAUAUUUCCACAAACAGGGGAGACUCGACUGCAUAAUUUGUGUACAUAGGGGACUGAGUUUGCACUUUCCCUGA